rnacentral:rRNA from 1 species
CCUACGGGUGGCAGCAGUGGGGAAUAUUGGGCAAUGGACGCAAGUCUGACCCAGCAACGCCGCGUGAAGGAAGAAGGCUUUCGGGUUGUAAACUUCUUUUAAGGGGGAAGAGCAGAAGACGGUACCUCUCGAAUAAGCCACGGCUAACUACGUGCCAGCAGCCGCGGUAAUACGUAGGUGGCAAGCGUUGUCCGGAUUUACUGGGUGUAAAGGGGGCGCAGACGGGGUGACAAGCCAGGUGUGAAAGCCCGGGGCGCAACCCCGGGACUGCAUUUGGAACUGCGUGGCUGGAGUGCCGGAGGGGCAGGCGGAAUUCCUGGUGUAGCGGUGAAAUGCGUAGAUAUCAGGAGGAACACCAGUGGCGAAGGCGGCCUGCUGGACUACAACUGACGUUGAGGCCCGAAAGCGUGGGGAGCAAACAGGAUUAGAUACCCGUGUAGUC